CCUACGGGCGUCAGCAGUGAGGAAUAUUGGUCAAUGGCCGGAAGGCUGAACCAGCCAAGCCGCGUGAAGGACGAAGGUGCCAAGCAUUGUAAACUUCUUUUGUCAAGGGACAAAAUCAGGCUCGAGAGCCUGACCGUGGGUACUUGAAGAAAAAGCAUCGGUAAACUCCGUACCAGCAGCCGCGGUAAGACGGGGGAUGCGAGCGUUAUCCGGAUUUAUUGGGUUAAAGGGGUGCGUAGGCGGGCAGUUAAGUUAGCGGUAAAAGCCCGGGGCUCAGCCCCGGCGAGCAGAUGAAACUGGCUGUCUUGAGAUGUCGAGAGGGAGGCGGAAUGCGCAGUGUAGCAGUGAAAUGCUUAGAUAUGGCGCAGAACUCCGAUUGCGAAGGCAGCAUACCGGCGGCGAUCUGACGCUGAGGCACGAAAGCGUGGGUAUCGAACAGGAUUAGAUACCCCUGUAGUC
rnacentral:rRNA from 1 species